UACGUAGGGUGCAAGCGUUAAUCGGAAUUACUGGGCGUAAAGCGUGCGCAGGCGGUGAUGUAAGACAGAUGUGAAAUCCCCGGGCUCAACCUGGGAACUGCAUUUGUGACUGCAUCGCUGGAGUGCGGCAGAGGGGGAUGGAAUUCCGCGUGUGGCAGUGAAAUGCGUAGAUAUGCGGAGGAACACCGAUGGCGAAGGCAAUCCCCUGGGCCUGCACUGACGCUCAUGCACGAAAGCGUGGGGAGCAAACAGG
rnacentral:rRNA from 1 species